ensembl:lncRNA
ACGCGUUGAACAUUCGAGGCCAUUUAAACUGGAGUGGAGGGAGUUACCAUGGAAACGGGGCAGCAACACAGCUGACAAGUAGCAAAACUACUUCUCUCACGGUUGUUUUUACUGCUUUCAGUGCAUUCAGGCUAUCAAUGGAUGAGUUGGAGCGGACCUCUUGUUGAAGAACUUUUCCAGGCACUAUGAACCAUCUGACUAGCCAUCACAUUUAACACUGCAUUGAGGACACUACAACCAGAGAGGUACAACAUAAUUCAAAAUGAUAUAGAUGAUAAUAAAAAAAAAGUGCUUUGAAAUGAAAAUGAAUAAUGGUAAGACAGAAC